UACGUAGGGGGCAAGCGUUGUCCGGAAUUAUUGGGCGUAAAGCGCGUGUAGGCGGUCCGGUAAGUCGGCUGUGAAAGUCCAGGGCUCAACCCUGGGAUGCCGGUCGAUACUGCCGGACUAGAGUUCGGGAGAGGCGAGUGGAAUUCCCGGGUGUAGCGGUGAAAUGCGGCAGAUAUCGGGAGGAACACCAAUGGCGAAGGCAGCUCGCUGGGACGUUACUGA
rnacentral:rRNA from 1 species